AGGUGCUCAAGAUCAGGUUGGAUGGGGCCCUUGGCAGCCUGAUCCAGUCAGUGGCAGCCCAGCCCACAGCACAGGGUUAAAACUAAAUGAUCUACAAGGUACCUUCCAACCUAAGCCAUUCUAUGGCUCUGUGAUCUUCAAAGAGCCCAACUGCUGUUCUCACAAACUGUAGGCACUAGGCAGUGGCGUGACAAAGCCUCUCUUAAAAUACUGUUGAAAAUGGGAUUGACAAACUCAGGUAAUUUCUGUGCUGUUGCUGAAUAUUUUACCAUAUAUAUAUACACACACACUGAAGUGUGUGUGAACUGUUUAGUUUUGUAGUUGUAAUCAGAUGAGACAUACAAAGGAGAUGAAACGGCAUCAUCUUUUUUCAUGUAUUUGUAAUAAAAUAUUGAAAGAAUACAUUAAGUAAUGAAGUGUAAGAGAAAACUAGACUAAGAGUCUAGUGAGUUAUAAAUAAUGGUGAUAAUAAAGAUGAGUUAUAAAUAAUGGUGUGUUGACUAGAAAAAUACACAGCUUUCCAGAAUUAUUGCUAACUAGGGAAGAAUUCAGCAGCACCAAUUUUCUUUUCAGCAUACAGAUCUUAGAGAAUGAGUAGUGAGGAUACUGUGUGAUGAUGGUCUGAUGGAGAAUUUACAUUCUAAGGUUUGCUUGGCUGGCCUAGCAAAAGGUACCAUCUCUCCUGCAAAUCCUGCCUCUUUAUGAUACCUGAAAAAACAAGUAAUUAGCACCUUCAGUAUAUUAAUUUAUUACGGAAAGGUUUAACGUCAUAAUCCAACCUGCAGCUGGAUAGCUACAAUUAAUUUCAAAGCAAGCUACUACUUUUUUGCUCAAAUCCUACAGAUUUAAAACUGCAAGCUCAGAGGCUGUGCCUUCAAAGUCCUUGAAUGAAGGUUGGAAGGGAGACAUCUUCCAAAAAAAGCCCGUUAUAAAAUUAGUUAUAAUCAGUGACAAAAUUAGUUGGGUCCUCUCUAGCGUUACAUUGCAGCUGCACGCAUGCAGAACGCACGGCGAGCCUCAGCUCGGAACUCCCAGCAGUUCACGUAUUGGCCUUCAGGUUGCUGUCAGGGGUUCCAUUUUUAGCUGUUGUGAAGAACCAGCCUUUCUCCAGUUUCACAAGACUGCAGGUGCAGCUCUGUUACGUACAGACCAGUCAGCGAUGGGCAGCGAGGAAGCAGAAAGGACAGCAGGCACGUCUGCUAAUCAAAACGCAGACACGUAUGAAACGCUCCCACUACUCUGAAUGUGGAACUUUGUACCUUCAUAAAAUGAGCUCUGCCAAGAUUCCUCCCCUCCACACCACUCGUGCCAGACACUGAACUCAAACGACCUCAGCCCUAUCUACUUCAACACAUCUUCCGCACAGCUAAGCGCACUUGAAGGAGUUCGCGCAGAACCUGUAACACGACCAGCGCAACUUUUCAGGGUCGUUGUCGGGUGCGAGGCUCGCACACAGCCGCCCCGGGCACGGCUCCGGGCACGGCCCCGCCUUUCCCCACACGGCCGCUCACAAAAUGGCAGGUGAGGCGCGGCGCUACGCGCGGCCGCCCACGCGGUGGAGCCGCAGCGAGGAGGGCGCGAGCGCGGCAGGUGGAGGGCGGCGGGCAGGGAGGGCAGCGAAACGCGCGACGAGGGGAGCCCGGGGCAGCCCGGUCCGCGCACUCACGAUCUCCAGGAAGAUGAAGGCUCCCGAGUAGUAUUACAUGACAAGACCAAUGACCUGCCUCACUGAGGACAACGUCUGCAGUCCUAGCAGAAGGCUUUCAUGGAACUGAGUGUGUUGAGGGUGACUGUUCCCCAUGAGCAGUGUCAUUAGGGUUUACCUGGCCGAAGAACUGCAUCCAGUCAACAUGUGAAGAGCAACUGGUUAUUCUACCCUGCAAAGCAAAGCUGACCAGAUUCCAGCUGGAAGAGCCUGUCUGCUACAAGCCAGGAGAGAUUUGGAGACAGCUGGUGCCCAGGGAGCGAGACGGCUGCUCAGUACCAAAAUCUCAGAAGGAUCUUGGAUUGAGAGGCCUUCUGGGCUCCUUGUGAGGUGCUAAACAGACAUUGUACCUUGUUUUUUAAACGUCCCUCAACUGCAUGCAACUUCUGCUUACUCAGGUAGUACUGCUUUAUAUCUUCAUGCUUCCAAUUUUUUUUGCUCUUUGCAAAAAUUUACUGGCUCGUGUUUCAAGCACAUGAGAAUACUUCUCUGACAGUUAGUCUGCUGGCUUUAAUUUUACUGAAGAUGCCUUUGACUUUACUCAUAGGGCAUCAGACUUCCUGAGAAGCCUGAGACAGAUACCUAUUGUUAUUUUCCAUACAAUCAUUCAGAGAAGCUGUCCAAAAAAGUAAGGCAUUCAGAUAUGUAUUUAGAGAUGCGAUAGAAAGUGAAAUACUCAGUGUGGUUUGUAAUUGUGUUUAUCUAAGUGCAGCCUUUUCCUGUGUCAGAACAGAUUUUUGCAAACAGGAGGGUAAUGAUUCAGUUCCAGGGGAAGACUGACAAAAUAAACCCCGGCUUCUGCUGACCUGAUGUAGUGCUGAACAGUGCCCUACCCUGGGAAAAUAUUUCCUGCUUCAUUUUCAUAAAUAUUUAUGUAAUUCCUUCUGGGAAACAUGUCUUCUUCAGAAAACUGAGCACGCUGCUCCCUGACACAAAUUUAACUGUUUGUUUACACAUGAGAGAUUGUGGUCAUUUAACCGGCCUUGGAUUUUUACACUCUUAUCUCAGGCAUUUCUGUCUUUUAAAACUCUCCUAUACUCCUUCUAGAAAUCACAUAAUGCCUUGUGUUGUAGUGCUUAGUCUCUGAAUUUCAAAUAUCCUCAGUGCUCACUCUAGGAUUGGUAUUUUGGGCUGAAGAAAGGAGAGCCAAACGUGAUGUUUAGGAUGGAAUCACGUUUCUGUCCUACCCAGCUGUGGCCUUCCUGUGCUGCUUUGAGGCUGCUCUCUAAAAAAAUUAAUGCAAGCAAUUAAACAGGGAAUUGCAUGACUAAUGGAAGUAUUUAUAUUUAGAAACAGACCUAAACACAUUUAUAUGAACUGAAAUAGAACUGGCAUGCUGUCUUUUGCAUUUGCUUUCUAAGCUUCUAGCUUAGCAGUAAAUUGGGCAUGAGUUGCUGCAAGAAAAUAGGAAUAUUCUCCAUUAUGACAAAAUAAAAAAGGUUGAUGUUGUUCUCUUCAACAUUUUAAGAGAACAGAAGAGUGACUGAUUUUGAAGCACACACUGCUGAAGCCCUGUGUGAAGUCUUGUGCUCGUGCAAAACUGAACCUUGCUCACCAGCUCACGUUCAACCCUUUUAUGAAGUGGUGAACCCUUUAGGGUGCUGCAGAGAAAGCUGUGUGAUGAUAGGAGACAUUCACAGGAGAAAGCAAACAUCGAGCUUGUGCCCAGGGUAUAAUGCACGUGAGUAAAUGGUACCCAUGUCCUGUGCUGACCUGUGCAUUUCGUAUGAAAUCUGUUUGUCUUGAACACUGACUAAAAGCACUAUCAGUCCUAUAGGGGGUCUCAGUUCUUAGUCUUCUGUUCCUGUCAUUCAGCUGUGGUGGUUUGCAUUACUCAUUUGACCUUCUAAUUGAACACACAUAUUUAUAGAUCAUAUAGAUUUAUGGAGUGUUUCUUCCCUCCCCCCCCACCCCUUUCUUCACUUCAAACUCUGCCACAUACUUUCCAAACACAGCUAGAGCCAAGAAGCUUUUUCCAUUUUCUUCAGCACUUUGCAAAAAAAGAGACAAAUGAAACCAGGAAACUAGGGAGCAGCUACCUGCCCUGGAGGAUUCAUGAACUCCUCUGGUAAAAGGCAAAAGCAUGGCUAUAAGGAAGCUGGCAGGAGGGGGACAUAAUAGAAAGGAUACACAGGAGGUCAGAGGAAUCUUGAAGACUUCCUUCUUAGCCCAUGGGCAUGUAAUAUGUUCACAGUUUGAAACAGGCAUUCCUGACCUUUUUUCUGCUGUCCUGCUGAACCCCUCCAGUGAUGACAGAGACUGCCUAUUGCUUCUGAGGGACUGCCUUGCUUCUCUAAGUGUCCCUGCUCUGCUCACUGCCUGAAGCCUGCUACCAAAUGUGUGCAGACAUCUGCUGUCCUGCUCAGUGAACUCUCUCCUACCUUGGUACUGCUUCCCUGGUGCCUGGGGAUGCACAGUAUUGUGUAACAUGUAUCGUAAUGUUGGUUUCAUGUCUGUGUGGGUGUGUUUCUGGCAAGAAAAAGAAAAUUUUGAACCUCAUUCUCCCACCUUCCUACUUACUGUACUGGCUGCCAGAAUGUUUGGCAGCGAAGGGGAGGAGGGUGAUGGAAGUGGCAUAUUUUCUGCUUGACAUCCUAACAAACCCAAAGGAAAAAAACCUUCACCCAGUCCAUACUCAGAAAGCGGUAUUGUUAAACUUGAUAACGAAUUAAACAUUUUACAACUCCAGGUUUUGUGUAAGGAAGAGAGAUUAAAAAAGGAAAAUAGCUGGGCUUGUUCAGC